GAUCACUGGAAAAAGAAGUUCACAGAGGAUGAACAGAGAAAAUGAGGUGCCUGUGGUGAAAUUCUGGAUAAAAGCAUGAAAUUAACUGCUCUCCAAGCCAAAGAGGGUAACUCCAAGUCAGUACCACCAUCGUUCUGAUUGAAGUAGUGAAAGAACAUCGAAAGAGCCUGUUCUAGGCGAGAAAAAGCCUGAAGAUGAGGAAAAGACAAGAGGUUGCCGUACGAUAUGAUCAAAACAGUUCAGAAAUACAUAAUUUCUUCUACCGGCAUGGAAUUACAAGAGCUUGACCAAGCAGAUUCAAGAGAGAAUGGCUGACAUUUUUUUUAUUGAUGGAAUUUGUCAACAGUUAAAGCUCCGGCUCUUUCCCUAUCAGUGCCUCAGGUUGUCUUCUCUACUGUUACUUUUCCUCAGACUCACAGCACCACCUGGAACCUGCUGAGAAUGCCUCUGAAAGAGACAGCAUUGAGAAUCCACUGCUUCUAGGUAAACCUGAUGGAGUUGAGAGCUUUACUGAACCAACUUGAGCUGAGCUAUAACCAACGUGACACAGCACCAGGGGACCAUGCGUUGCCAGGGGCAAAAGUCCAGAGGACCAAGGCUGGAAAACUGCAAAGAUACACCCGGGGAAGAGCUACUGAAGGCUCCUGGGAAGGAGAAGCAGAAGCAAUGGAGAUGGAAUGUUCAUAAAGGACCUAUUUCUAAAAGAGUGAAAAGCAAAAGUUUUCUCCCGAACCUGAUACUGAUGCGAGACAGCAGAUUGGCCGGGAUGACUUGUGCUGUCAGUUUGCAUUACCAGCGUCAGCCCUCUGAAGGACGGAUUUUGCACUGUACAUUUCUAACAUAUCCAGUUCUGUGUGCAUUGGAAUAUUUCUGCAGGCAGUAGGAUUAAUCUCUCCUAGCAAUAAAAGCGGGAACCGCCGGAGGAAGGGGUGUCACCGAAGCGCUGCAGACGCACAAAGAGAGCCGCGGGCACAACACAUUUGUCAC